ACGGGGCGCAGCAGGCGCGAAACCUCCGCAAUGCGGGAAACCGCGACGGGGGGACCCCGAGUGCCGUGGCAUCGCCACGGCUUUUCCGGAGUGUAAAAAGCUCCGGGAAUAAGGGCUGGGCAAGGCCGGUGGCAGCCGCCGCGGUAAUACCGGCGGCCCGAGUGGUGGCCGCUAUUAUUGGGCCUAAAGCGUCCGUAGCCGGGCCCGUAAGUCCCUGGCGAAAUCCCACGGCUCAACCGUGGGGCUUGCUGGGGAUACUGCGGGCCUUGGGACCGGGAGAGGCGGGGGGUACCCCUGGGGUAGGGGUGAAAUCCUAUAAUCCCAGGGGGACCGCCAGUGGCGAAGGCGCCCCGCUGGAACGGGUCCGACGGUGAGGGACGAAGGCCAGGGGAGCAAACCGGAUUAGAUACCCGGGUAGUCCUGGCUGUAAAGGAUGCGGGCUAGGUGUCGGGUGAGCUUCGGGCUCGCCCGGUGCCGUAGGGAAGCCGUUAAGCCCGCCGCCUGGGGAGUACGGCCGCAAGGCUGAAACUUAAAGGAAUUGGCGGGGGAG
rnacentral:rRNA from 1 species